AGGGCAGUUGUGGACGAGAAUAGGUACAAGCAAUACUAGAAUUGUCCUGAGGGGGGAUGGUGUAGGAAAAGAAGUGGAUACAGCUGACUGGGAAGAUGGCGGCUGAGAAGACAAUGAGGAGGCUUUGGCGGUUAAAGAAGACAGUUGAGAGGAAAAGGGUCUUGCUGUGCCGCUCAGGCUUGAGUACGCUGGUGUGAUCUCAGCUCACUGCAGCCUUGACCUCUGGGUUCAAGUGAUCCUCCCAUCUUGGCCUCCCAAUGUGCUGGAAUUACAGGCAGGAGACACUGAUUUACAAUCUUCUAAUAAGAGUCUUUAUCUUAAAGAUAUUUGUUUCCUGUGUUUGAGAAUUAAAAUGCUGGCUUUUUGCUGAAUAAAAACAAGUUGGCAAUAAUAGUUAAA